AGGGUUUGAUCAUGGCUCAGGACGAACGCUGGCGGCAUGCCUAACACAUGCAAGUCGAACGAGAAAGUUCCUUCGGGAGCAAUUAAAGUGGCGCACGGGUGAGUAACGCGUAGACAAUCUGCCCUUCAGUCUGGGACAACUUUUCGAAAGGAGAGCUAAUACCGGAUAACAAUGCAUGACACAAGUUGUAUAUUUGAAAGCUUUAUGUGCUGAAGGAGGGGUCUGCGUCCCAUUAGCUAGUUGGUAAGGUAAAGGCUUACCAAGGCAACGAUGGGUAGCGGGUUUGAGAGGACGAUCCGCCACACUGGAACUGAGACACGGUCCAGACUCCUACGGGAGGCAGCAGUGGGGAAUAUUGCACAAUGGAGGCAACUCUGAUGCAGCAAUGUCGCGUGAGUGAAGAAGGCCCUUGGGUCGUAAAGCUCUUUUAUGGGGGAAGAUGAUGACGGUACCCCAAGAAUAAGCACCGGCUAACUAUGUGCCAGCAGCCGCGGUAAUUC
rnacentral:rRNA from 1 species